rnacentral:lncRNA from 1 species
UCCAUUUUUGAUAUAUUUACAGUAGGAAAUUUACUAAAUAUCUCCAUGGAACAUGAUCUUUACUUAAUAUCCUAACGAUUUUUGGCUUAAAAGAAAAAUCUAUAAAUUUGACCCAUACAAUGUAUUGUUGGCUAUUGCUAUAAAAACUGGUUUUGUGCUCCAGGGUCACAAAUCUUGACGAGGAAACAACAGUAUCAUUGUGUUUCUGUGUGAAAUAUCAAAGUGCUACAGAGGUGAAGGCUCACGGUGUGUUUUUGGAGUGUUAUAAUGAUGCUGCUGUUGAACUGACAGUCAUGAAUACUCUAUUUUCAGAUGCUGAUUUGUGUAGUGGCGUGCAUACAGUAUUUGAUCAGUAACCCGCAGGUUCACUGCGCCCCGAGAGAGAGACAGAGACAGAGAGAGACAGACAGAGAGACAUUUGCAUCUGUCUGCAUACAGAUUAGCGCGGCUGAGAAGGUUGAGUUAUGAGAGCAGGGAAUGCAGUGUGGAGAUAAUUCAUGGCCAAUCACACGCGAGCGCUCGUGGUCAUGUGUCCCAUGAGGAAGAACAACAAUAGGCCAGUGAAAAAGUGAGCAAACCCUAGAGAGACGAGGACAGUAACCAAAGAAAACUCAAAGGAUGAUUUUCCCAUGACCUUUCAUGCUGAUGUGCCGCAGUAGAACGCAACCGUUGGCUUCUGGAAGAAAAAUCCAUUUUCUUUCUCCAUAGAGAGAAGGAUUUUUAAUGAUAAAGUGUAAAGAAUCAUGUCCCAUGAGCCCUGAUGUUGUUAAUCGAUGGCAUAUGCUUCUGUAGAAACCAGAAUGAGAUUCCAACUUAAUGUUUAUGGUUUUAGCCAAAUUUAAAUGAAGAAGUUGUUCGAACAUGGUAAAGGCAAUAGUUUAAAUUCACUCUAAAGAUGAAGGACUGAAAAUGACAGAAUUGUUCAGUCUCUCUUUGCUUCUGAUAUACAACUUAUGUGUUGUAAAUAUGUAAUGUUUUAUGCUUUGUUGUCAUAAUAUACAGUGCACCGUAUAAAUGAGCACAUCCUAAAACUUAACAAAUUCAACAGUUACUCUUGCUCUUUACUGGGAAGACAUGUUCUUUGAAGAAAUAAUGUUGAACAAAAUCUUUUAAAUUCAAGCAAUUUCCUGACAAUUAAAAGAGUUAUAUAGCCUACUAAAUCCUACUCCGAUCUAUUAAAACCAAUGAAACUAAUUGAGAGAGAACUGCCACAAGACUUAUUUCUUAUGUAAGAGAGCACAGUGGUACAAGAGGAAUACCAACUCCUUGUUUUAAGUGUGAAAAUAUAGCUAAAGUAAAACUGACAUUGAAAAACAACGGACUUGAAAUAAUAAUCAGUCCUUCACUUUGAGUCUUGAUUUAGUGAUGAGGGGUUUUUUUACAAGUAGAAGAGCAGGAGAAAUACCAUACAAGUG